GAACUAGAUGGUUAGGCUAGCCGGCAAACUUCAAAGGGAGCGGCAAAUUAUGUCGAGAACCACUUUUAUUUGUGUCACGUGACGAGGAAAGGGGGUGCUUUGUGAUGAGUGAUUAGGAAAACAUAUGGGCGAGAACAUAAUAUGCCAACAAAAGAUCAUAUUUCAAAACGCUAUAGGGCUUCUGAGUCAAGGUGGAAAUUGAAACAGAAAGCGAACAAACAUACGAAACUAUUUUGAACGUUGGAGAUGAAAAUAUCGAAGAAAGCGAGCGUUGUGAACAGUUUAUGAUCGAGGCAUAAGAGGGCGAAGACAUUUAUUGCAACUAGACGAUGCAACCGCAGAGGAUUUAUACAACUUUGAUGUGUCUGUUUCUCUAACGGAAAUACAGUUAGACGAAACAGUCGCUGAAUUCACCGAAGCUAUACAAGAAAUUGAUGGCGAGAGGGUUUCUCCUUUUAGUCAGUGAGAGGUGCAUGUCUAUAUAGUAAAGGGAGAGACAAAACUCGUGCUGCGUUGACUAUUAGAGGACGUGAUUUGAUUAUAUUACAUCGAUUCAGGUCAGUUUGGCUACUCUCUACUGAUGCUUUGCAUGGCACUUUACACAACAUUCUGUCCAAGGAACAAUCAAGAUAAACUUUUAGAAUGUUUUUAUAUGGCUUGAUUCCUCGUUUGUGUGAGCAGCUAUAAAAUUGUGAGAACUAUAAAGUAGCAAAUAUAUUCCUGAGCAUAUUUGAUCGGAUUUUUAUAAAACACUACACCUGGAAAAUGUCGGCAUUGUUGGAAAAUGCUGUGAUUUUUCGUGAAGUUCAACCCUCGGACUCUGCACAGAAACUGUACGGAAAAUAUAGUUAAACUUUAUUUAUUAACAGUCGGAGCAUUUUCCUACACCAGAGACUUUAUUACUAUUAAAGAUGCGGCAUGUACAGUCCAAUCUGUGCAUGUGCACAAAGGAGCCCUCUUUAUUUACAAACAGUUUUUAUUUCAUUUUAUGUUCUUGCAAAGCUUGAUUGUUGUCUCUUGAUAAUUUGUAGAAUCAUGAAAAUAUAACUAGUUGUGGAAUAAAAUUCAAUAUUUUGGAUACCGAAAUGUAAACAAAGCCUUUGUUUGCAUACGGACUGUACCGCAUCUUUAAAGUAUAGCAUUAAUUAUUGAAAGGCAGUCAACGAAAAGGCAUUGAGUGAUUGAGAAAGGGGAUGCGAUAACAUAUAAAACUUGAUAAACUUCUUAAUUGUUAAAGAUUGUCAGAAGUUCAGAACACUGUUUCCAUAAUUCAAUAAUUUUAUCAUAUAUUAUACAAUAAUUAUAUUGUUUUUAAUUAAACCUUGGCUGGUCGAAAUAGAAGUGAUUUGAUUAUGGUAAUCUGCCACCAUUCAGUACAGCCCUGCCCCACAGUAGGCGGAUCACACCACACUAAGGGGACGAUUACAUGGAACACUUUUAACCACAGGUUUGAACUCAACCAUGUUUACAUAACUGGGUUGAAUAUUUUGCGAUUACAUGGACAAUCUCAACCCCAGGGUUGAAAUGCUAUACAUUCCCGAAGUGAAAACAAAAACCAGCCUCAUCAAAUGCUUGAGUAACUCAUGAAUAAUUUCAGCCCUGGGUUGAAACGAUUACAUGAUAAAAUUUUCAACCCAAGGCGAAGUCCAACCUGGGGUUGAAAUUUAACUCUGCUAGCUGAAGCGGGGUUGAACUUGGCCCUGAAUUGAAAAUUUUGAAAUCAUGCAUUUGAUUUUGAUAGCAUUUUGUAUUACAGACAAGGGCGAGAGUUCAGCCCAGGCCUCAUAGGUCCAACUGUAGGCCUAUAGGCCCCAACUGUAGAUCUGUAGGAGACAACCCCAGGGUUGAAAAUGCUCCAUGUAAUCAGCCCCUAAUUAACCCAUUAAAACUUUGAUGUACCCUGAUUUGACUUUAUUUCUGUUGAAUACCAGAUAAUAUAAUAUCAUGGCCUUUAAUUCACCAAUCUUGGUAUGAAAAUCGAGUGACCACAAAAAAUAUUUACAUGCAAUAUACCACUUUUGGAACAAAACAAGCAUAGACCAUUUUGAUAUGAUAGUGAAAAACUUAAAAGAUUUUUUUUGCAUUUUAAAUUGCUUUUUGAGCCUUGGACCUCCUAGGUUAUCUUGAAUUUCUUCUACUUUCCAUAUUUGCAUAUCAUCUAAAUCUGCCAUCAGUUUUAAUUUCAAUACUGGACACACCAGCCACCUCGCCAGCCACUGAACUAACGUGUGUAAUUCGAAGCUUGUAGGUUGUUUAUCUGGUAUUUAUACGUUGAGAAUGCGACGCUCAGCCUUGGGAACUUCGUGUUUAUUGUAGGUACUGUAAAUUUUCAGUGGUACGCUACCAGUUAUAAAAGCUUUCGAUUGGGGUCUACAGAAGAUAGGUAUUUAAUGGCUUAUUGCAUUUUUAAACCCCCCCUCCCCCCCUAUGGAGGAUACUGGAAUUUCCAGACCCCCUUCCUAAAAUUCUACAAAAAAAGAAGGAAUUUCCAAGGGAGGGUCUCAAUUUUAAAGAAAAUCUGUGGAAAUUCCACAGGGUAGGUUAAAAAAACAACAUGGAAAUUCCAAGGGAUGGUUACCUAUUAAACAAAAAAAUGUGGAAAUUCCAGAGACUAGGUCAAAACCAUCGGUGGAAUUUCCAAGGGAUGAGUAGAAAUUCAUUAAAAAUCUGUGGAAAUUCCAUGGGGUAGGCUGGAAAUUUGUAAAAAUUCGCGGAAUUCCAGGGGGUAGGACGGAAAUUCACCAACAUCUGCGGAAUUCCAGGGGAGGGGGUCCAUAAAAUGGAUGUCCUCCAUAGGGGGGUGUGGAUUAAAAAUGCAAUAAGCCAAUAGACAUGGGAUAUGUAAAUAUGCAAAUACAAUGCCCUCUUUGUUUACAUCUGAUCACACAAGCGCAUGCAUAAAAUGCAAAAUUUACAAUGGCUUCAAAUGACGCUCACAAAGGAAAAUCUUAUUUGUUUCUGAAGAUCUACCGUCUUUUCUCUAGUCCUUUAAAACAGUUCGAAGCCAUUCUUCGCGAGCAUUUCUCUUCUUGUUCACCAUCGGCUGUAGUCUCCUACGCAGACUACAUCGGCUGCGCCAACAACAGGGAUUUUAAAAAUUGCAAAUUCACACGUUCUGCUGGUCGGACAGCCAUACAAAGCACAAUUAGAGCCAACCAUACUGUUCAAUAUUACUUCAAACGUUUAACCGUAUCCUGACAUACUAAAACAACG
rnacentral:lncRNA from 1 species